rnacentral:rRNA from 1 species
UACGUAGGGUGCGAGCGUUGUCCGGAAUUAUUGGGCGUAAAGAGCUCGUAGGCGGUGUGUCACGUCGGCCGUGAAAACCUGCAGCUUAACUGUGGGCGUGCGGUCGAUACGGGCAUCACUGGAGUUCGGCAGGGGAGACUGGAAUUCCUGGUGUAGCGGUGAAAUGCGCAGAUAUCAGGAGGAACACCGGUGGCGAAGGCGGGUCUCUGGACAGCUCCUGACACUGAGGCACGAAGGCCAGGGGAGCAAACGGG